ACGCUGGCGGCAGGCUUAACACAUGCAAGUCGAACGGUAACAGGGAUUAGCUUGCUAAUUUGCUGACGAGUGGCGGACGGGUGAGUAAUGCUUGGGAAUCUGGCUUAUGGAGGGGGAUAACUACGGGAAACUGUAGCUAAUACCGCGUAAAAUCUUCGGAUUAAAGGGUGGAACUUUCGAGCCACCUGCCAUAAGAUGAGCCCAAGUGGGAUUAGGUAGUUGGUUAGGUAAAGGCUGACCAAGCCGACGAUCUCUAGCUGGUCUGAGAGGAUGACCAGCCACACUGGAACUGAGACACGGUCCAGACUCCUACGGGAGGCAGCAGUGGGGAAUAUUGCACUAUGGGGGGAACCCUGAUGCAGCCAUGCCGCGUGAAUGAAGAAGGCCUUCGGGUUGUAAAGUUCUUUCGGUGACGAGGAAGGUUGAUAGGUUAAUAGCCUAUCAAAUUGACGUUAAUCACAGAAGAAGCACCGGCUAACUCCGUGCCAGCAGCCGCGGUAAUACGGGGGGUGCGAGCGUUAAUCGGAAUAACUGGGCGUAAAGGGCGCGCAGGCGGUGACUUAAGUGAGAUGUGAAAGCCCCGGGCUUAACCUGGGAAUUGCAUUUCAUACUGGGUCGCUAGAGUACUUUAGGGAGGGGUAGAAUUCCACGUGUAGCGGUGAAAUGCGUAGAGAUGUGGAGGAAUACCGAAGGCGAAGGCAGCCCCUUGGGAAUGUACUGACGCUCAUGUGCGAAAGCGUGGGGAGCAAACAGGAUUAGAUACCCUGGUAGUCCACGCUGUAAACGAUGUCGAUUUGGGGAUUGGGCUUUGAGCUUGGUGCCCGUAGCUAACGUGAUAAAUCGACCGCCUGGGGAGUACGGCCGCAAGGUUAAAACUCAAAUGAAUUGACGGGGGCCCGCACAAGCGGUGGAGCAUGUGGUUUAAUUCGAU
rnacentral:rRNA from 1 species